rnacentral:lncRNA from 1 species
AUGCAGCCAUUCAAUACUUCUGGUGGAGAUACCCAUGGGCUUUUAACUGCUGCGAGCUGAAAACUAAGAGCUAUGUAUGGGAAGAUGGAUGAUAUUAUCGACGUGAUGAAGAAGUAAAUGGUUGAUUUGGUUAGGAACUGUAACCUAUAUAUGUGUUUUGAUGAAGAACACGUGCACAAAUUUAGAAAUAUGUAAUGUCGAUUCAACAAACGCCGUUGCCAAAAUUGAUGCAUCUAAAGUCGUUGCAAAGGUAUAAGCGGAAGAGGUAAUUGCUUCCAUAAGUUUGUCUCUGAUCAAGUUAUAGAUUGAAUGUGUUUUUCUUUGAUAUCUACUUCGCUGCAAGUUCUCGGUUCUCUUUGUUCGCGGUCUCCUCCAAUCAGUUGCAAAGUGUUCGUGGAAAGCAAUGGUCUAGAAUAAAAGCUUAUGAAAUCAAGCCCAUGUCAAGUCAUUUUCUACUCUGGAGAGA